rnacentral:tRNA from 1 species
GCCCAGGUGGCGAAAUUGGUAGACGCGCUAGAUUCAGGUUCUAGUGCCGAAAGGUGUGGAGGUUCGAGUCCUCUCCUGGGCACCA